rnacentral:sRNA from 10 species
GGAAUGCGAAUAAAUUGCCAUUUUAUAUCCUUAGGUUGGCAAAUUGGGUCCCGAUCCAAAAACCCUGAAAUGCAAUCCCGAGUCCCAACCCAGUCUAUGGGCUGAGUUGAAUUUAUUUCCUCUGUCACAAAGAAGAUAUGAAAAGGGCUACCUGCCGCCACAGGUAAGGACUACCGAGAAGAGGGCUACUUGGAGCAAGAUGAGAGUUAUCCUGAACGGAAGAGGGCUAUCUGUUACUAAAGUGAAGCUGACAUCGGUCUUGGAGACUUGCUAUGUUCCCAAAAGGAAAUCACUAAAGUAAAGGGUGGCUAGAGGAGGUGUUGAGAACUCAGUGAUUCGAGCUGUUAAAGAAAGAAGAAGAAGAAGAAGAAGAAUGAUUUUGGGCGCGAAUCAACAUCCCGUUGAAAGAGAUGGGGAAUAAGGGUAUAGUGCCAUUUUAUCCCUCUAGUUAAUGAGUGAGUAAAACGCCUAGAGUCAUGUCGUUUUGUUUCAUGUCUUUUGCUGGCUUAAACGCCACUUCUUAUGUCGUUUUGCUUAUAUUUUGUAAGGCUGAAAAGCCACGUGUCUGAGUGUCUGUUUCCUUUACUUUCCUAGCCGAUUGAGCAACCGUUGUAAAGCACAGAAUUCCAAUUCCAUGUCUGGAAUCCUGUGCUCAGCUAUUUUUUCUCUCUAUGCUUUUCACUCUCCAAAGCCGAUUUACUAGGCAGAGAUUGUUACUGUCAUAUAAAUACCAAUAUGAAAAUGAGUGAGGUGGCUUUUUUCUCCAAUUUGUUUUCGA